AAUAACUUUAAUUUGUAGUCCCAGAUUAAAAGAAUCUCCUACGACAUCGAGCAGAUCCAAGCUCUUCGUACUCAGCCUUGGCGACACACAUUGAUCAUCAUCUUCCUGCUCUGUCCCAAUCCCAAGCAAAUUGGCAUCCACAGCUUCAUCUAUCAUUGAAUCUGGUAAUAGUGAGUUUGCAAUCCAUUGCUUAGAAUUCAUUUCCCCAACAAACAUCUCAUGUGUUGGCUUCCUUCUUGGGAAUGUUUCCAUCACUACAAUUCCAAAACUGUACACAUCCCCUCUUGUUGAAACCAUUCCUUCCAAUCCAUAUUCUGUAUUACAAAAAAUCGGCCUAGGCGGGUCAAGGCGGCGCUAGGCGGGUCUGGGCUGCCCUAGGCGGGUCUAGGCGGGUCUGAGUGCCAGGGUGGGUCUGGUUCUUUAGGGUUUAGGGUCUGGGUGGUUCUGGUUCUUUUCUUUUGUUCUUUAAGUCUACUGCCUAGCGAUUUUUCAAACUUAUGCAUUGCAGGGCGGGUCGGGUUCUUUUCUUUUUUUCUUUUAGCCUAUUGCCUAGCGAUUUUUCAAACUUCAUCUCUCUGUGCAUCUAUCUUUGCUAAUUGUUCGCACAAGUCGUGAUUGGGAUACUGUUGGUUACACAGCAGGCUUUGACACUAUUGGAGACCAGUGGCAGACAGACAGUAACACACUAGCUCCUUGAUCGACAUUAAAAUUGUAGUUACAUAUUUCAAACUCCAUUAGUAAUCUGUCACAUUUUUUUCCAGCUCAUGUUUAGCAAGUUUGAAUUUGAUGGGAAACUGAAUCCUACUUUUGUGGAAGGGGCAUUUAAGCUCCCAUUAUCAAGCAUACGAGCAUAUCUAAAAAAGCCUAUUACUCCCAGGUUCGUACACUUAGGUUCUGCAGGAGCUACCCGACCUGACAGGCCUGGACUUGAUCUAAGUAAACAACCUCCUGCUGUUCGCUUAAACAAGGAAUUGGAUUUUAUACUGACAUUCAAGUUGAAGGUUUCAUACUAAUUCAGUGGAACCUGUUGGUAUUUUUAUAUAUAAUCAGUGUAUCAAAAUACCACUUCUUAGCUCUUUUCUCUC